rnacentral:lncRNA from 1 species
CCCUAUUAUAAAUUAUGAAAAUAUUAAAAUAAAAAAUUAAAAGAGAGAAAGAGAGAAACUCAAAUAAAUUUAUUCAGCACCACCAUCUUCAACACCACACGCCGCCAACAAUAUGGUCGUGAACUCGUCGUAAUUCUUUUACUCUCCAUCUCAAAAUCAAAUCAAACUAGAAAACACCUCCCCCCCAUCCACCAUCACAGCAUCAAUCGCCACCACCACCUACACAAACCCAUUUUAGAAAUUCCAAAAUUCCCUUACUUCCAUCUGCUUGCACAACGAAUAAAAAUCAUAUGAACAUGUUUAAGGAAAUGGAUAAAAGAAAUAAUUGCAUCAACAAAGUAGCAUAACCUUAGAAAUAACAGUCCUCUAUUUUCCAUUUUGGCAGCAAUCUGUUUCGCCCUUUUUUCCCUUUUAGCAGCAAUCUACUUCACAUCCAUUUUCCCCUUUUGGCAAAAUCUAUUUCACAUCAAUUUAUCCCUCUUAUGCUAAGUCAAAGUGGAGAAUCUACACAUCCGUAGAUAAAGGUAAAAUUUUUUUAGUUCAAUUUGUUUAAUGGGUAAUAUGAACUAUGAAAAUGAUGAUUUGUGGGGUUGAAUUAUUGAAGGGGUUCUGCCUCUAGAAUAAAUUCAUCUACAGAUAAAGGAUUAUUUUUCAGUUUUGUCAUAUUCGGUGGUGGUGGCGAUUAGUUCGUCGUUGGAGGUUUGAUGUGGUGGUGGUGGUGAUUAGUAGGUCGUUGGAGGUUUGAUGUGGUGGUGUUCGUGGGGCUAUGGCUGAUCUAUCGACAUUGGGAAGAUAUUUUUC